CUGGCACUCCGACUGAGUACCUCCGCCAAUCGAUGCUCCUAGUGCUCGCUGAGGACUCCAAGCACUCCAACCGACACCAUCAGCACUACAGACCCCACUUCCAGCGAUGCAACUGCGCCGGGGUCUCUGCUGUUUCCACCCACCCUGGACCCAAGGCCAGGAUCCAGCUUCCAGUGGGUGAACCUCUCUUUCCCCAGAGAGCAGGAACAGGAACAAAUCAAGCUAUUGCAAGAGCUUCCU
rnacentral:lncRNA from 1 species